CUGUUAGCUUCGGUCGCGUUAGGACCAGUUCUUUUUGACUCCAACAACGCUGCUUUUAAAGUAGAAUUCCUUCGUGAAGAGGUGCUGGUUGUGCGGUACGCUGCAGGAGAACUUCUCCCACGGCCACGCAGACUGACUGGCGGUUCAGUCAGUCGUUUCCACCAGCACUUGCUGCAUGGCUGAAAGUCAGUCCACACCACAGAACCUUCGCACUCUCUCCCACAGAAAAGGCAGGUUAUGAGGAAUGAACGCAAAAAAAAAAAACACCAUUGUGUGAAUUAAAUGGCAGACUUUUCUUUUUUCUUGCCAGCAACAGACAAGAGUCCAGGUCAUCAUGAUUGACACCUUUAAAUAGCUUUGACAGAGGUUGAUGAAUAAAUUGUGGACCUGCUUCGAAAUCAGAA